CCUCAGCUUUACUUCCUGAAACAUGAUCCUUUGGUUACAAUGUUGUCAAGGAAGUUACUUAGUAGCUAUCUACAGCCACAACACUAGUGAAGCAAUAAACUAACGCAAUCAUCUAGCAUAAGAGACCAUGGUUGAGAAAGAGAGAGGAGACAAGUCACAGAAACUUGAUUGUGAAUCAGGGGACCGUCAGUAGGUGGAGACACUGUUCCCUCCUCACUUCUCCCUGUUGACUCUGGUGGUGGAGAACAAUAUCUGUGGGUCCAGGAAGGCUGGAGCCAUUAAGGUAACAGAGCCAUCAUCAUUAUCCUCUUAAGAGGAGACUCUGUAGGCAGGACUUCUACAUGACUAUUCUACAGAUGGUACAACACAAAGAGGCGCAGCGAAGAAACGAGACACCAUUCCAGAAGAUCAUCCAGGAGGACUUGCAGAAGAAGGGAGGGGAGUUGAGCUCUGAUUAUGAGGGCCACAAUAAUUUGUAUUUUUUAUUUAACCAGGUAGGCUAGUUGAGAACAAGUUCUCAUUUCCAACUGCGACCUGUCCAAGAUAAAGCAAAGCAGUUCGACACAUACAACAGAGUUACACAUGGAAUAAACAAACAUACAAUCAAUAAUACAGUAGAAAAUAUAUAUAUACAGCAUUUGCAAAUGAGGUAGGAUAAGAGAGGUAAGGCAAUAAAUAGUGCAGGAAGUCAGGAGGGAGAAUGAGAGCUUGGCGUUGGAUAUCGAAAGGCUUGAAAAGCACCUAUUGAGGUACAUAGGCAGGAGGUCACCUCUCGGUUGGCACACAAGCUAGCUCUACAGAGGAGACCAAGACUCAGCUGAAGGAGAGCCAUACACGUAAUUAUGCUGCCUUGGGAUUCCUGCGCAGGCACUUCAAUAACCCAUCAGAGGACACCAAGACUCAGCUGAAGGAGAGCCAUACACGUAGCUAUGCUGCCUUGGGAUUCCUGCGCAGGCACUUCAAUAACCCAGAGGGCACAACACAUACAGACAAGAAUGCACACUUUUUUUGUCCCAUUUUUAACAAACUCACAAAAACAUACUGCACAAAUGCUGUUUGUAAGGCAGGCCUUCAGUCCAACUAGCCUCUCAAUUACAUAUUGGUGGAAAUACUGUAUGCUGGAUUUCCUUACUGUAAUAAAAACACAAACAAAGAUGUCUUAAUUUUAUUUUUAUAUAUGCUUCCACACGUUCACCUUUUAAAAUAAAGCUAUGUACACAUUGUACACAUCUCCCACAGUAAAUAAAGAAAAUAAUAAAAAAUUGGGGGAAAAAGGAAGGCAACAGUGAAAAACAUACAUUUUACAGUUCAAAUUCUGAAUCACCCAAAAAUAAUUUAGCCUUGACAAAUCUUGAUCAUUUUUGUAUAUUGUCAUUGAGUUAUUAUACUAGCCAAAUAACCACAAGUCUGAAAAUUAUCAGAAAUGUUUUGCUUUAUAUUUGAUUUCCUCCAAUAAAUUAUUCAGUUUAAAGUUUUGAUCAAACAUUAAUGCUUGGUCUACGACAAAACAGGUGCUCUGGAAUUCCUAUAAAUAACAGACUGUGGGCUGAUUACAGUGAACGGGAUUAAGCCUACAAUACUACUGGACUGAAUUGCACUUUUGGUAAAAAGUCCUGGAAUAGUUCAUAUGUAUUCCAUUCAAGGUUUAUCUAUAUUCAAUAAAUCACAUUUGCAGUUAAUCAUUUAAUCUGGGCCUGUGAAGUUGGCGUUUUUUGGGACUUGAAAUACAUUAUUUCCCCCCCUCAUCAGUGCUCGACGUGGGCAGGAGCGAACCGGAGUAUAGUGCCAGCACCUCAAGUUUUCUACUGCUUGAGCUCCUGUUCCUCUUACAGAAUAUUAGCUCAAAAGUAUUGAGGAGCUCCUGCAUCUAAAUGUAAACAGAACCAGCACCCAAAAUGAGUACUGGCAUCCAUCUCAGUCAAGUCAAGCACUGAGCCUUAUACUACCUUUGAUUAAGAAGAUUGGAGAGGUCUAUACCUCCACAUACAUGGUCUUCCCAAUCAAAUUGCAAUUCUGAAUGUAAGGCAACAUUCAUACUUGUGUGUCCUCUUAUUCAAUAUGAAUUGAAAUUUGAGGCACCCAACUAAUACAUUUCACUGGAAGAUUCUGGUUUUCCCCUUAAAGAAAACCAGGUCCCACUCCCUGUUGAAGUUAAAACAAAA